rnacentral:rRNA from 1 species
AUUGAACGCUGGCGGAAUGCUUUACACAUGCAAGUCGAACGGCAGCACGGACUUCGGUCUGGUGGCGAGUGGCGAACGGGUGAGUAAUGUAUCGGAACGUGCCCAGUCGUGGGGGACAACGUAGUGAAAACUACGCUAAUACCGCAUACGAUCUAUGGAUGAAAGCGGGGGAUCGCAAGACCUCGCGCGAUUGGAGCGGCCGAUAUCAGAUUAGGUAGUUGGUGGGGUAAAGGCCCACCAAGCCAACGAUCUGUAGCUGGUCUGAGAGGACGACCAGCCACACUGGAACUGAGACACGGUCCAGACUCCUACGGGAGGCAGCAGUGGGGAAUUUUGGACAAUGGGCGGAAGCCUGAUCCAGCCAUUCCGCGUGCAGGAUGAAGGCCCUCGGGUUGUAAACUGCUUUUGUACAGAACGAAAAGGUUUCUACUAAUACUAGGAGCUCAUGACGGUACUGUAAGAAUAAGCACCGGCUAACUACGUGCCAGCAGCCGCCGUAA